UAAUAAAUACUCUCUUCUGUCUCCUCUCACUGUGUACCACUUAUUUAUGUAUAAUCAUAUAUACAUAACAUUGGUGGACCGUCGAGUACUUUCUUUCGCUCCUCCCACUCACAAUGGAUUUUAAAAUUUUCAAAAUUCUUCGCAAGACAUAUCACCUACCAAAUUUGCUACGACUGCGACGACUAAGCAGCUUGACCACCGCCCCUUAGAGCUUGUCAUUUUGCUUCCGAUAGGGAAACUUCCCAAAUCUCUCUUCUCAAAACCUUGCGUAAACUGUGUGAUUUUCCUGUGAAACUUUUUUUGUGAAUUUUCGUCAUCUGGUCUGUAAAUUGGAUUAUCCUCCCGGAUGCUAUCAGUCACGGUUAUGGGUCACCCACACAAAACCCUGCGUCUUCGAGUUGUCCGGUUAUGGGUCACCCCCACAAAACCCUCACAAGUCCGCGUAUUCCUCCGAUGUCCCGAUGGACCACAUACCAAGACCACAACAAUUUAUUUCUCUUUGUUCAUCGUUUUGUCCUAAUCUGCAAGUUUUAUAUGAGUCAGCCACCACCACGCCUGAGACGAUACAAUUCUACCACCGAUUGCGAGCCAUACCAUCUUCUCAAGUUCCAGCCCUGCAUAACUACUACGUCAUUCGAUAUGUGUAUAUUUAUUAAAUUGUUCAGUGUUAUUCAUGCAAAAUCUUUGUUCAUGUUUGUUUUCCGGAGUCAUUUCAUUUUUCAUUUUUCCAUGAAUUUUUCAUAUGUAAACCAUCAAAAUUUCUAAUUCAAAUUGUGACUACUGAAAUUGUUAGUUUGCAAACCUACACACUCUUUCCGACUAUUUUUCAGGAGAAAAAAUUUUUUCGUGAGAGGGUAGUGUUAGGUAUAUGUAUGCCUACGUAGAUAUGUAUAUGUAAUUAGUUAUGAAUCUGUACAUCACUCCAUCUUUAACUCUCCACUAAUAAAUACUCUCCUCUGUCUCUUC